AUCUUCCGACGAAGAGCUUUACAACCCUAGGGCCUUCAUCACUCACGCGGCAUCUGCUGGAUCAAGCUUGCCUCCCAUUGUCCAAUAUUCCCCA
rnacentral:rRNA from 1 species